rnacentral:lncRNA from 1 species
GGUUAAAAUGUGAUACAAAUAGCAAUAGGGAACCCCGGAAGACCCUUAAGCAAGGCAGAAAUGUAGACGAAGCAGAGGGCAUGUGUAAACAUCCGCAGUUAUAGGAGACUUCUGGCUGAGGGCCCAGCAAGAUAAGUAGAGCGUUUGUAUCUCUGAGUUUCUGAGUUAAUGAUGCCAGCAGUCUCUGGACCAGCCAAAUUGUGGUGGAUUUAUUAUUUACAUUACAACUGCAUUGUAAAAUGAAAGCAUAUGCUGUAGAAUUUUAUAUCCAGUAUCAGGAUGCAAUUUCCCUAUCAAAUAAAAUUGUUGUUUGCUUUCUGUACUCUAUAUUAUUAUGGAAAUUUCACAGUUUAUCAGCU